UGUCUGCAAAGAAUGCAACGUCAAACCUCCCUGCGUGUUCCUCAUCUAACAGUCACUAUUUUGAUCACUCAUUUAUUACCAAACUUCUUCUGCACGUUUCUAACAUAUAAUAGAGAUAGUCUGUGUUUAGAAAGGCAACAUUUUUUUAAAGGAUUUUAGGAAAGAAGCAGGAUUGUUAUGAUAUCAUAUUUAAUUGUCUUUGUGGGCGUGUAUAUAUAUAUGUGUGUGUGUGUGACAGAUGUGUGUCUUCCUGUGCAGAUGUUGUUUCCAAGGAAACAAUGACAGGACAUGCUUUAAUUGUCGCUGUCAAGUCCUGGAGGGUUUUCCUGUGUCUGUUACAUAUACAGUAACUUGUGCGACUUUCUGGGACUUGAACUUCUGGUCCAAAAGGUUUUGGACCAGUGUCGACGUGAUCGUGUAGACGGACAGAGAAUAGGAAGGCUGUUCUCAGCAGGGAUGGAGGUGCAAGUAAUGAAGAGGCUCAUUUGUUCUGAUCACAGAGGCUUAACGGACAACAGAUGAUGAGCUUUGAUUUCUUCUUAAUUGGGAGAGAGAGAGAGAAGCAGCCAAGCGAGGUAGAGAAUGAACACAACAAUGCACACAGUGGCUUUACUGUCUAGCUGAAUACACUGUAGGAAUAAUCUGCACGGUGACAAAAGUUUUUCUAAAAGUUUUUUCUUUAAAUAUGUAUAUAUAUAUAUAUAUAUACAUUUAAGUAUUAUUUAUAUAUAUAUAUUAUUUAAUUAUUAAAUAAUUAAUUGCAAAAUGAAAUGACAUUUAUUUAAUUUACCACAUGGUCCUUUAUGCUGAAUGUGCAGUAUACUGUAUGAGGUCUGAUCAUGUAUGAAGGAGGCACACUUCCUGCUCCAGAUACCAUCUGCUGCCCAUGUGACCCUGAUGUUUUCUCAUCCUGAAAACAGAGAAGUUUAAAAUGCUGUUCUCACCAGCUCCUGAAUUAAUGAUGAUGAUCUCUGCUCCUGCUCAUUUUCUUCUUCCUCCUCCUCCUCCUCCUCCUCCUCAUCUAUACUUGAUGCCCUCUGUCUGACUCUUGGUUCAAUGUCUCUCCAGUCCCGUCCUCACUGACUUUGCCGCUUCAUCCUCAUCCCUUUUCUCUGUCAGUCUCAUGUCUUUCAUUUCUGUCGUCACACAAAACUAUAUAAAAAUGUGAUGACAGUACAGAAAAUACAGUGUGUUAAUAAAAAUGUCAAAGUAGUACAUCACAAAAUGCAAAAAAAAAUCAUUUACGGUUCAUAAAAAGUGACAAUGUAAAAGAGUUAUUUUCUUCUUCCUGAUUUUCCUUUUUUAUAAUUAUUUCAAAUCUGUAUCUUCACAUUCUUAAAAUGGCAUUCCCAUUCCUGUAAUUGAAACUAUUUCCAGUUUGUGUUUAUGUUCUCUUGUCUUUGUCAAAUAAAUUCCUUGUCCUUUGUCCUUGAAUUGUUUCCUGCCUUUGUCGUAUUCACCCCCGUCUUUUUCUCUAUGUACACAGAUUAUUCCCUUUCUUAUCAUUUCGAUUAUUAUACUUUGUCAUUUUCUUCCUAUUAUGUUUUUGUGAAUUAUUGAUGGGGAGUGGGGUCAAAGUUCACCUCUCUCUCACUUUUCUUUGAUGUUUGCCUCCUGCAGAUUUCCUCUGUGCAUGACACCCUGGCUCACUGUAGGUGGUGCUGUUACCCCGUGCUGUCUGCUCUGUGUGUGUGUGUGUGCUUGUAUGUAAGCGUUGUUCUGUGUGCAAACAGAAGGUUUAACAUAAUUUGAUUAAAAACAGCUGAUUGCUGAAGAGAAUGAUCAAUAAUAGCUGACUGAUUGAUGUUUGCGUGUGCGUGCGUGAAUAUUUGCGCGCUUGUGUGUGAUACAUGAUCCUCAGACAAGGCCGCAGGAAAUGCACUUUAUGUCUCUAACCUGACAAAUCCCAAAGGGUUAGGGUUAGCGCUUCCCCGUCUCUCUCUCUAUUGCUUUCUCUCUCUCUCUCUCUCUCUCUUUGUGUGUGCUAAUUUGAUUGCGUAACAGGCUUAAGGCCAGGACAGAUUGUCGGGAAUGGAAUCCCACCCUCUCAGUCCAUGACGCCAGCUGACACACACACACACAUAAACACAUCCACUGAUGGUAAAACAAUGUGAACUGGACUUAAAAACAGGAAGUCCACCUGCAUGUGUUGGUUGAUGUAAUAAUUGAUUACAGCAGGGGCUGGAACCCUUGAAAGAGCUUGAUUUGUUUUCAAUAAAGUCUUUAAAUCAUUUUAUUGCUUAACCGUUAAUCAGAAGAAUCACUAAUUAGACAUGAAAAAUAAAAACAAGAAGUGAAAGUGAAAAAAGAGAAAACGCUGCACUGCUGUCCUGCUAAUUAAAGGCUCACUUUUGUACCUGAAACUAGAACCCGGACCUGAAAGUCCGUCUGUCAGAGACGUUGACAGAGUACAGCAUCAGCAAAGGCCACAACAGGUGGAGCUCAACCAGUAAAUGUCACGCAUACUGCUGCUGCAGCACUAAAGCAUUGUGUACAUUGUGUACAUUGUGUUUUUGUGUGGUGGUGGUGUCAGACAGGUGGGGGAUUUUGAUUAGUGGGUGGAGGCACUUAAAUAAAAACAAAAAACUUAGUGUUUGAAGGUUCCUAGUUUCAGUGUCAGUCCAGGACCAGGAGCACGGGUCACAGUUUACAAAAAUUGUCCACAAUCUCUGAAUGUAAAAUAUUUGUAGUCGACUUUUUUUGUAUUAUUUGUCUCAUUUCUGCUGCCAGAUGCCUGGAGACUAGAACUAGAAGUUUUGUUAAGGCCAUGUGAAGGUUUGUUGCACGGUGGAUUCACUUUGUGCCUGAUGAAAAACUCUCUUGUUCAGCUGUUGCUGGAACAGAGGGAAAGUAACAGCAGGUAGAUGUGUAUGUGUUUCACACCUAUGUGAGUUUGUUAUUAGUCCAAAUGAUGAAAUUGUUAAUAUGGAAUAAUGUCAGAAAUAUACCCAGUAUAACAGUUUAAGUCUUGCAUCACGACAUUGGCUUCUAGAGCCCAUUUAACCAGGCUAACACCGUUGUCUUUAGCUAUUUUAAUUGGUCCAUAUUCCCAGCCAAUCUGUUUAAAAAAAACACAGGAUGAUGAAGAUCAUGUUUGGGAGUGAUCAGGCUUCUGUUUAAGGCAGGCAGCAUUUUGGCUGUCUGACUGGAUACUGGUUUAAGACCUGUGUUGCCAUAGCUGCUGGUUAGUUGUGUAGUGAGUUUGUGGGGAUUUCCUGGUGCCGUGAGUCCAUGGUCAGGGAGGUAUGUCAGCAUGGAGUAUAUGGGGAUCUCCACAACACCUGAUGGAAACACUGGGUGGAAGGUUACUGUUUAGUCUUAGUGUGUGUGUGUGUGUGUGUGUGUGAGGGGAGGGUGUUUCCAUCUUAAUUUGGGCCCCCACCCACCUCCUUUCAGUAUCCCCCUCACACUGACUCACUGUCCUUCAGCUCCUAUCACACCCUGCCUCCUCUUCAGUCGUUCUCUUUCACUUCAUCAUGACACACUGCACGGUAAAGCCUAAACCACCGGCGUGCCUUCGCCCAGUUUUGGGUCUCAUCAGAACUUUAAGGUGUCGCUUAAAGUCUCUUCGACGACUCCUGCUGCCGGACCGUCACUGUCCCCAGCAUCAACCGGCCCAAACAUUUGGUGGCGUCUGCUGGGAUCAACCAGAACUUAACAGAGUAAACGUCCUCACCUGUUCUGGUCCAGGAGAACUCAGUAUGGCAGUGAGUAGUCAGGCUUCUGUUAGAGCUCAUGUCGAUCCAGAAGUGUUCACCUUGUGACUGACUGCUGGUCAGUAAAUCUGCUGUUGACUAACCCAUCCCUCUCAGUAAACAUUGUUUUAAUCAGAUUUAAUGUGUCAUGCAAAAAAAGGGCAACGUUUGUUUCAUUGUUCUUAAACAAAUCAAUCAUUUGAGUAUUUAGUUCAUGACCAGGUCUGUUUUUUUUAGCCUCAUAUAUCUUGCAGUAAUUUAAAUUUAGACCUGUUUAAGUUGAUAUGAAAUGCCAAAAAUUAGGAAAAAUGUUU